rnacentral:rRNA from 1 species
AUUGAACGCUGGCGGCUGGCCUAACACAUGCAAGUUGAGCGGAGCGGCGGACGGGUGAGUAAUGCCUAGCAAUCGGCCUGGUAGUGGGGGCUCACGUCCGGAUACGGGCGCUAAUUCCGCAUACGACCAGUUGUGCACAGGUCGGAUUAGCUAGUUGGUGGGGUAAAGGCCUACCAAGGCGAGGAUCCGUAACUGGUCUGAGAGGAUGAUCAGGCAAACUGGAGCUGGGACACAGGCCGGACUCCUACGGGAGGCAGCCGUGGGGAAGAUUGGACAAGGGGCGAAAGCCUGCUCCAGCCAAGCCGCGUGUGUGAAGAAGGUCUUGGGAUUGUAAAGCACUUUAAGUUGGGAGGCGUUACCAGCAGAAUACGCACCGACUAGCUUCGUGCCAGCCGCCGCGGUAAUUC